AGGGAGGGAAGCUGUGGGCUGCCCAGCACAUACAUCCCACUCACUGGGAGCUACAGGCAGCAGUCUAUUGCUCUGCUACAGCACAGUGUGCUGGGACCAAACAACUCUGGAUUUAGCCUUUCAUUUGACAAGGUACAUAGGAGCCAAAGAGUAGGAGGGAAGAGAGAUGAGAACAGUGAACAGAUCAAACAAGCAACCUUCGGAGGAGACAUCAGCCCCACCAUGAUCCUUGGCGUGAUGUGA
rnacentral:lncRNA from 1 species